GAUUUGGGUGGAUGGAUAGGAGGGCUUCCGACCUGCGUUAGGCGGGUCAGUUAAUCUUCAGUAACUCCUUGAUGCGUUUGAUAGUCCUCCCAACUUAAGCCUUCCUUACUGCCUCCAGGAGAUACAGUCUUCUGUUCUUUUUGUCAUAGUUGUUUAUUUUUCAUGAAUCGCUGUUUUUGAGCAUAGGGCACUUACCUCUUUCUGUGUCCCCAGCCCUACCACAGUGCCAGGCUCUCAAUAUGCUCGAUAAAUAUUAGGCGAUUGAUUUGUAAAUCGUGUAUCAUUUUCAUGUAUCUAAUACUUUUUUAAAAAUUGAUUAAAGCCCAUAAGCCCAUAUUUUAUUCCAGAUGUCCUUAGUUUUCGACCUGGUAUUCUUUUCCAUUCCAGGAUCCUGUCCGGAGUACAUCACCAUGUCUUCCAGGCUCCUCUGGACCGUGACCGUUUCUCAAACUUUCCUUGUUUUUGAUAACCUUAAUAGUUUUGAAGCGACUUAUUGGUCAUUUGGUCAAAUGUCCUUCAAUUGGGUUUUGCCUGUAUUUUUCUCAUGCAUUAACUGAGGUUAUGGGUUUUUCUUGAGUUAAGAGGUAAGGUAAAGUGAUCUUCUCAUCACAUCACAUCAAGGGUAUAUACUAUCAACAUGACUUAUUACUGUUGAUGCUAACCUUUAUCACCAUUAUUACAGUGUCAUACAGAAAAGUUUUAUAGUUCUACAAAGAUCCCCUUUGUUUCAUCUAGUAAGCCCUUCCACCUCCCUAUGUAGGGUUUGUCAGGUUUCUCCACUGUGAAGUUACUGUUUUUCUUUUCCUCUCCAUACUAUACUAUUUGGAAGGACAUCUCUCUGUGCAGCCCAAACUAUAGGAAUGGGAAAUUGUUAUACUCCACCUUUAUGAGGACAGAAUAUCUUCAUGAAUUAUUUGGAAUUCUUCUGCAUGGGAGAUUUGUCUGUACUGCAUUUAUUUAUGUAUUCAAUCAUUUAUGUCAGUAUGGACUCAUGGAUAUUUAUUUUACAUUUUGGGUUAUAAUCCAAUACUACUUUAUUUUGUUGUUCAUAUUGGUUCCAGCUUUGGCUAUUGAGAUUUCCUUUAGUUGGCAUUUGUGUCUUUUUGACAAACCCUCCUCGUUUUAUGUUUAUUGAUUUUUUUUCUUGAGCAUUUUCUUAAUUUCUAUAAGUUGCUCCAGGCUCAUCUUGUAUAUUCCCUGCCCCAAUCCUAGAAUCAGCUGCUUCCCCAAAAAGCCAAGGGUACUUUUAAUGGAAAAUGAUAUUAGAAAUCAAGAUUUGGACAUUUGGGAUGUUGUUGCUUCUAGACACUCUCAGCUGACAGAGCAAGGAAAUAUUUGUGGAUAUGCUAACCUGACUAAAUACGCAUAUCUGCUCCAUACCUACCUAACAUCUAUCUUCUCAAGAACUCUGCCAGGGAAGGAGUAGUUUCUGUGUUUCAUAAACAGACUGAGACUCAAAGAGGCUAAGUAAACUACCUGAAGCCAUAUAUAGCAACACACAAUGACGGAUGUGAGAUUCAAACUUGGAUUUAUCUGGCUCCAAAAUUUCUAGUUUUUUUUUUUUUUUUUUUCCCACUACAGCAAAACUAAGGAGAAGAGACAGAGGGAACCUGAUGGAAUAAACUGCUGUGAGAGGGAGUAUUGAAAAUACUUCUCCCCUGGACCUUGUUCCCAGGCUCCGUGUGAAGCUGAACACUCCGCAUGAUCUCCCUGCCACCAUAGCAAGCUAUGAAGUUCAUUACACAUGCAGGUAGCAGACAAUACAGCUCUGCUUCCAUUUCUGAGCACCUACGGUAGACUGCCAUUAUUCAGUGUGCCAGCCUGUUUCCAAGCCUACAAUGUAUAGUUCCUCUAGUACGUAAACUCAUUUUUUUUCUCAGAGAGCCAAGUAGAGACACAGGCAGUUUUCUUCUCAAAAUGUGCCAGAAAUUCCAAAACAAUCUCAAAGCAUUAAAGGCUAUGUGCACAAAGUACAUGCAGUUGUAGAGUCCCUCUUUUGCAGAAACUUGCACCUCAGCCCACCAGCAUUUCCUUGGUGCUUCUCCUCCUGACCCUCAUCCUCAUGCACAGACCAUUGGAUAUUACUGCACUCACGUACUUGUGUACUUCUUUCUAACAGCUGACUGAAAUCUUUCCUACAUUUUCAGGGUGAUGGGCAGAAAGUUUUUCUCAGGAAACAUUGUAGGGAAGCUGGCAGGGGACAGUUAUAUAUAUGGGGAGGGUCACAUUCUAUUAUUCAUGGGUUUCCG
rnacentral:lncRNA from 10 species